rnacentral:rRNA from 1 species
GAUGAACGCUAGCGACAGGCCUAACACAUGCAAGUCGAGGGGCAGCACAUGAGUAGCAAUACGAUGGUGGCGACCGGCGCACGGGAGAGUAACACGUAUGCAACCUGCCUGUAAGAGGGGAAGAACCCGGAGAAAUUCGGACUAAUACCGCCUAAUACCCAGAGACUGCAUGGUUUUGUGGUUAAACAUUUAUGGCUUUCAGAUGGGCAUGUGUAUGAUUAGAUAGUUGUUAGGGUAACGGCCUACCAAGUCUACCAUCAUUAGGGGUUCUGAGAGGAAGGUCCCACACACUGGUACUGAGACACGGACCAGACUCCUAGGGGAGGCAGCAGUGAGGAAUAUUGGUCAAUGGGCGAGAACCUGACCCAGCGACGCCGCGUGCGGGAGGAAGUCCCUCGGGAUGUAAACCGCUGUCAGGGAGAAGAAAGUCCGCAAGGAUUGAUCUAUCCCAGAGGAAGCAACGGCUAACUUCGUGCCAGCAGCCGCAGUAAAAC